rnacentral:snoRNA from 1 species
CGAUGACCAACCUUUGCUCCUUAGACUGCUGAUUCCUGUGAUGCAGUUCCGUCGAGUCUGACU